rnacentral:rRNA from 1 species
CUACGGGCCGCAGCAGUGAGGAAUAUUGGUCAAUGGACGCAAGUCUGAACCAGCCAUGCCGCGUGCAGGAAGAAGGCCUUCUGGGUUGUAAACUGCUUUUAUUGGGGAAUAAACCCCUCCACGAGUGGAGGGUUGAAGGUACCCAAUGAAUAAGCACCGGCUAACUCCGUGCCAGCAGCCGCGGUAAUAUGGAGGGUGCAAGCGUUAUCCGGAUUCAUUGGGUUUAAAGGGUGCGCAGGCGGGAAAUUAAGUCAGUGGUGAAAGCCUUCAGCUCAACUGAAGAACUGCCAUUGAUACUGGUUUUCUUGAAUCUGGUUGAAGUGGGCGGAAUACGUCAUGUAGCGGUGAAAUGCAUAGAUAUGACGUAGAACACCGAUUGCGAAGGCAGCUCGCUAAGCCGGUAUUGACGCUGAGGCACGAAAGCGUGGGGAGCAAACAGGAUUAGAUACCCGCGUAGUC